rnacentral:tRNA from 1 species
AGGGGCAUAGUUCAAUGGCAGAACAGCGGUCUCCAAAUUCGCUAAUGAGGGUUCGAUUCCUUCUGCCCCUGCCA